rnacentral:tRNA from 1 species
UCUUCGCUAGUACAUCGGUUAGUAUUUCCGCUUUUCACGCGGACGAGCGGGGUUCGAUUCCCCGGCGGAGAA